CCACCCAGGCCAGGACGAUGGUGAAGUGUUUCCUGGGCCAGAGCAUGCUCCAAAGUUCCUGGAACCCGAACCCCUACCGCAACCAUGUCUUGACAGAAGACAGAGUACACCGGGAGGUCACCCCUGACCAGCAGCUUCCGUCCCGGAGCCUCCUGACCAAGACCAACAGGAUGCCCCGCUGGGCGGAGCGACUGUUCCUGCCAGUGUUGCUCACGCAGUGUACAUCCUGGAGGACUCGAUUGUGGACCCACAGAAUCAGACCAUGACCACCUUCACCUGGAACAUCAACCACGCCCUGCUGAUGUGUUUACUGUGUGAACCCCGACAGCAGCUGGACCGAAAUCCGCCGGGAAGCCUGGGCCUCCUCCAGCUUGUUGGGCGUCUCCAGAGCCGUCCAGGAAUUUGGUCUUGCCCGGUUCAAAAGCAACGUGCCCAAGACGAUGAAGGGCUUUGAGUAUAUCCUGGCCAAGCUGCAAGGGAGGCCCCUUCCAGAACGCUCCCGGAGACCGCCAAGGAAGCCAAGGAGAAGGCAGCUGCAGAGAAAGCCAAGGAUCUGGCUAACAAGGCCGCCGCCAAGCAGCAGCAAGCAGCAGCAGCAGCACCGUCAGUGUUGGUUGACACCGAUGUGCCCGGCAUGAGCAGAGGCAGCUGUGGGCUGUGCGAACUGCUGAUCACCCACGGGGAUGCGGUGCUCUUUCAUAUCUUGCUUGCAGAUGCGUUUUCUAGCUGA